rnacentral:rRNA from 1 species
GCUAAUACAUGCAAGUCGAACGCUUCUUUUUCCACCGGGAGCUUGCUCCACCGGGAAAAAGAGGAGUGGCGAACGGGUGAGUAACACGUGGGUAACCUGCCCAUCAGAAGGGGAUAACACUUGGAAACAGGUGCUAAUACCGUAUAACAAUCGAAACCGCAUGGUUUUGAUUUGAAAGGCGCUUUCGGGUGUCGCUGAUGGAUGGACCCGCGGUGCAUUAGCUAGUUGGUGAGGUAACGGCUCACCAAGGCGACGAUGCAUAGCCGACCUGAGAGGGUGAUCGGCCACAUUGGGACUGAGACACGGCCCAAACUCCUACGGGAGGCAGCAGUAGGGAAUCUUCGGCAAUGGACGAAAGUCUGACCGAGCAACGCCGCGUGAGUGAAGAAGGUUUUCGGAUCGUAAAACUCUGUUGUUAGAGAAGAACAAGGAUGAGAGUAACUGUUCAUCCCUUGACGGUAUCUAACCAGAAAGCCACGGCUAACUACGUGCCAGCAGCCGCGGUAAUACGUAGGUGGCAAGCGUUGUCCGGAUUUAUUGGGCGUAAAGCGAGCGCAGGCGGUUUCUUAAGUCUGAUGUGAAAGCCCCCGGCUCAACCGGGGAGGGUCAUUGGAAACUGGGAGACUUGAGUGCAAAAGAGGAGAGUGGAAUUCCAUGUGUAGCGGUGAAAUGCGUAGAUAUAUGGAGGAACACCAGUGGCGAAGGCGGCUCUCUGGUCUGUAACUGACGCUGAGGCUCGAAAGCGUGGGGAGCAAACAGGAUUAGAUACCCUGGUAGUCCACGCCGUAAACGAUGAGUGCUAAGUGUUGGAGGGUUUCCGCCCUUCAGUGCUGCAGCUAACGCAUUAAGCACUCCGCCUGGGGAGUACGACCGCAAGGUUGAAACUCAAAAGGAAUUGACGGGGGCCCGCACAAGCGGUGGAGCAUGUGGGUUUAAUUCGAAAGCAACCGCGAAGAACCUUACCAGGGUCUUGACAUCCUUUGACCACUCUAGAGAUAGGAGCUUCCCCUUCGGGGGCAAAAGUGACAGGGUGG